rnacentral:lncRNA from 1 species
CAUUUUUUGGGAGAAAUGUAUUUUGGAAUAGUUAUUUUUUUGAAGAAUGUGUGGUUAAAAAUAAAGUUUAAUUUUACGUGUAAAAUUAUUUUAUAGGAAAAUGUGUGGUUGAAAAUGAGUUUUGAGAAAAAUGAGGAUCAAACAGGGGGCUCUAAAUACAACUGAAUGACCACUCCACUGCAUUUUGAAAUAUCUUGUCUUUCAACAGAGAUUCAGAUGAAAUUCAGCAGAAUCCCCUCAUAUAAGAAAUAUUACUCUCUUUUCCUCUUCUUUUUGUG